rnacentral:rRNA from 1 species
UACGUAGGGUGCGAGCGUUGUCAGGAAUUAUUGGGCGUAAAGAGCUCGUAGGCGGUCUGUCGCGUCGGUCGUGAAAACUUGGGGCUUAACCCUGAGCUUGCGGUCGAUACGGGCAUGACUGGAGUUCGGCAGGGGAGACUGGAAUUCCUGGUGUAGCGGUGAAAUGCGCAGAUAUCAGGAGGAACACCGGUGGCGAAGGCGGGUCUCUGGGACGGUACUGACGCUGAGACGCGAAAGCGUGGGGAGCGAACAGG